rnacentral:rRNA from 1 species
GAUGAACGCUGACAGAAUGCUUAACACAUGCAAGUCUACUUGAAUUUGGGUUUUUAACUUAGAUUUGGGUGGCGGACGGGUGAGUAACGCGUAAAGAACUUGCCUCACAGCUAGGGACAACAUUUAGAAAUGAAUGCUAACACCUAAUAUUAUGAUAAUAGGGCAUCCUAUAAUUAUGAAAGCUAUAUGCGCUGUGAGAGAGCUUUGCGUCCCAUUAGCUAGUUGGAGAGGUAACGGCUCACCAAGGCGAUGAUGGGUAGCCGGCCUGAGAGGGUGAUCGGCCACAAGGGGACUGAGACACGGCCCUUACUCCUACGGGAGGCAGCAGUGGGGAAUAUUGGACAAUGGACCGAGAGUCUGAUCCAGCAAUUCUGUGUGCACGAUGAAGUUUUUCGGAAUGUAAAGUGCUUUCAGUUGGGAAGAAAGAAAUGACGGUACCAACAGAAGAAGUGACGGCUAAAUACGUGCCAGCAGCCGCGGUAAUACGUAUGUCACGAGCGUUAUCCGGAUUUAUUGGGCGUAAAGCGCGUCUAGGUGGUUAUAUAAGUCUGAUGUGAAAAUGCAGGGCUCAACUCUGUAUUGCGUUGGAAACUGUAUAACUAGAGUACUGGAGAGGUAAGCGGAACUAUAAGUGUAGAGGUGAAAUUCGUAGAUAUUUGUAGGAAUGCCGAUGGGGAAGCCAGCUUACUGGACAGAUACUGACGCUGAAGCGCGAAAGCGUGGGUAGCAAACAGG